rnacentral:rRNA from 1 species
UACGUAGGGACCAAGCGUUGUUCGGAAUUACUGGGCGUAAAGCGCGUGUAGGCGGUUGUCCAAGUUGGAUGUGAAAGCCUUGAGCUUAACUCAAGAAAUGCAUUCAGGACUGGAUGACUAGAGGACCGGAGAGGAUAGUGGAAUUCCCAGUGUAGUGGUGAAAUACGUAGAGAUUGGGAAGAACACCAGUGGCGAAGGCGGCUAUCUGGACGGUUUCUGACGCUAAGACGCGAAAGCGUGGGGAGCAAACAGG